rnacentral:rRNA from 1 species
GACGAACGCUGGCGGCGUGCCUAAUACAUGCAAGUCGAGCGAAGUUUUUCUGGUGCUUGCACCGGAAAAACUUAGCGGCGAACGGGUGAGUAACACGUAAAGAACCUGCCUCAUAGACUGGGACAACUAUUGGAAACGAUAGCUAAUACCGGAUAACAGCAUUAACUGCAUGGUUGAUGUUUAAAAGUUGGUUUUGCUAACACUAUGAGAUGGCUUUGCGGUGCAUUAGCUAGUUGGUGGGGUAAAGGCCUACCAAGGCGACGAUGCAUAGCCGACCUGAGAGGGUGAUCGGCCACACUGGGACUGAGACACGGCCCAGACUCCUACGGGAGGCAGCAGUAGGGAAUCUUCCGCAAUGGGCGAAAGCCUGACGGAGCAACGCCGCGUGAGUGAAGAAGGAUUUCGGUUCGUAAAGCUCUGUUGUUAGGGAAGAAUGAUUGUGUAGAAACGAUACACAGUAGAGACGGUACCUAACCAGAAAGCCACGGCUAACUACGUG